rnacentral:rRNA from 1 species
AUUGAACGCUGGCGGCAUGCCUUACACAUGCAAGUCGAACGGCAGCACGGGUGCUUGCACCUGGUGGCGAGUGGCGAACGGGUGAGUAAUACAUCGGAACGUACCUUAUCGUGGGGGAUAACGCAGCGAAAGCUGUGCUAAUAACGCAUACGCCCUGAGGGCGUGAGUGGGGCAUCGCCAGACCUCGCGCGAUUAAAGCGGCCGAUGCCUGAGUAGCUUGUUGGUGGGGUAAAAGCCCACGAAUGCGACGAUCAGUAGCUGUUCUGAGAGGACGAUCAGCCACACUGGGACUGAGACACGGCGCAGACUCCUACGGGAGGCAGCAGUGGGGAAUUUUGGACAAUGGGGGCAACCCUGUUCCAGCAAUGCCGCGUGAGUGAAGAAGGCCUUCGGGUUGUAAAGCUCUUUUGUCAGGGAAGAAACACCGGCUCUAACACAGUCCGGGAAUGACGGUACCUGAAGAAUAAGCACCGGCUAACUACGUGCCAGCAGCCGCCGUAAGAC